AUUGAACGCUGGCGGCAGGCCUAACACAUGCAAGUCGAGCGGGGUUUUCGGACCUAGCGGCGGACGGGUGAGUAAUGCGUAGGAAGCUACCCGAUAGAGGGGGAUACCAGUUGGAAACGACUGUUAAUACCGCAUAAUGUCUACGGACCAAAGUGUGGGACCUUCGGGCCACAUGCUAUCGGAUGCGCCUACGUGGGAUUAGCUAGUUGGUGAGGUAAUGGCUCACCAAGGCGACGAUCCCUAGCUGGUUUGAGUGGAUGAUCAGCCACACUGGAGCUGAGACACGGUCCAGACUCCUACGGGAGGCAGCAGUGGGGAAUAUUGGACAAUGGGCGCAAGCCUGAUCCAGCCAUGCCGCGUGUGUGAAGAAGGCCUUCGGGUUGUAAAGCACUUUCAGUAGGGAGGAAGCGUUGUGUGUUAAUAGUACACAGCGUUGACGUUACCUACAGAAGAAGCACCGGCUAACUCUGUGCCAGCCGCCGCUGUAAUAC
rnacentral:rRNA from 1 species